GGCCGGUCUAUCCGCUGGCGGUGCGGGUGCCCGGAUUCUUCAAGCGCGCCAAUCCGCAAUUCGCGCGCUAUGUCGUGCUUGAUUCCAGCCGCGUCGCCAAAUUCGAAAACAUCCCGUUCCGCUUUCCCCGUCCCGACCCGAUCGUGCAGGACAUGGCGACGCUCGAUGUCCGCGAGCACCAGCCCUACAUUCACCGCCUGACCCGUCUUGGCGCGCAGCCCAACUCGACCGGCCGCUCGCUGGAAUUUGCCGAAGCCAUCAGCCGGUGCUGUGGACGGCACGGUCAAGGGCUGGAACGAGGCGAUCAUCUCGCCAAACGCUGCAAGCGCUGCCGGCUUCGAUCUGGCCGCGAUGGACGCGCGGUUGCCGCCGACCCUGAUCGUUAUGACUGAUCAUUUCGGGCAACGAAGCGGCCCAUGCAGCGUCCGGCCAUUGGAGGGUGCCGACCUUCGUGUUCGAGAAUGAGCCGUUCUCGGCCAGGACCGCAUCGACAUGCUGAUCUGGCGGAUGGCGAGACAAGGGCCUGACCCGCCGCGGCUGAAGUCUUUGGGGUCGUCAACGGCCGGAACCAAGAGGCUCUCCGCGGUUAGCGCAGGUGACAUCCAC
rnacentral:misc_RNA from 1 species